UAGGGAAUCUUCGGCAAUGGACGAAAGUCUGACCGAGCAACGCCGCGUGAGUGAAGAAGGUUUUCGGAUCGUAAAACUCUGUUGUUAGAGAAGAACAAGGACGUUAGUAACUGAACGUCCCCUGACGGUAUCUAACCAGAAAGCCACGGCUAACUACGUGCCAGCAGCCGCGGUAAUACGUAGGUGGCAAGCGUUGUCCGGAUUUAUUGGGCGUAAAGCGAGCGCAGGCGGUUUCUUAAGUCUGAUGUGAAAGCCCCCGGCUCAACCGGGGAGGGUCAUUGGAAACUGGGAGACUGGAGUGAAGAAGAGGAGAGUGGAAUUCCAUGUGUAGCGGUGAAAUGCGUAGAUAUAUGGAGGAACACCAGUGGCGAAGGCGGCUCUCUGGUCUGUAACUGACGCUGAGGCUCGAAAGCGUGGGGAGAAAACAGG
rnacentral:rRNA from 1 species